UACGUAGGGGGCAAGCGUUGUCCGGAUUUAUUGGGCGUAAAGAGCGUGUAGGCGGCCAGGUAGGUCAGCUGUGAAAACUCGAGGCUUAACCUCGAGACGCCGGCUGAAACCCUCUGGCUAGAGUCCGGAAGAGGAGAGCGGAAUUCCUGGUGUAGCGGUGAAAUGCGCAGAUAUUAGGAGGAACACCUAUGGCGAAGGCAGCUCGCUGGGACGGUAUUGACGCUGAGACGCGAAAGCGUGGGGAGCGAACAGG
rnacentral:rRNA from 1 species